rnacentral:rRNA from 2 species
GGGUUGUGAGGUUAAGCGACUAAGCGUACACGGUGGAUGCCCUGGCAGUCAGAGGCGAUGAAGGGCGUGCUAAUCUGCGAUAAGCGCCGGUAAGGUGAUAUGAACCGUUAUAACCGGCGAUACCCGAAUGGGGAAACCCAGUGUGAUUCGUCACACUAUCAUUAACUGAAUCCAUAGGUUAAUGAGGCGAACCGGGGGAACUGAAACAUCUAAGUACCCCGAGGAAAAGAAAUCAACCGAGAUUCCCCCAGUAGCGGCGAGCGAACGGGGAGGAGCCCAGAGCCUGAAUCAGCAUGUGUGUUAGUGGAAGCGUCUGGAAAGGCGCGCGAUACAGGGUGACAGCCCCGUACACAAAAGCGCAUGUGCUGUGAGCUCGAUGAGUAGGGCGGGACACGUGGUAUCCUGUCUGAAUAUGGGGGGACCAUCCUCCAAGGCUAAAUACUCCUGACUGACCGAUAGUGAACCAGUACCGUGAGGGAAAGGCGAAAAGAACCCCGGCGAGGGGAGUGAAAAAGAACCUGAAACCGUGUACGUACAAGCAGUGGGAGCACAGGUUUACCUGUGUGACUGCGUACCUUUUGUAUAAUGGGUCAGCGACUUAUAUUCUGUAGCAAGGUUAACCGUAUAGGGGAGCCGGAGGGAAACCGAGUCUUAACCGGGCGUUAAGUUGCAGGGUAUAGACCCGAAACCCGGUGAUCUAGCCAUGGGCAGGUUGAAGGUUGGGUAACACUAACUGGAGGACCGAACCGACUAAUGUUGAAAAAUUAGCGGAUGACCUGUGGCUGGGGGUGAAAGGCCAAUCAAACCGGGAGAUAGCUGGUUCUCCCCGAAAGCUAUUUAGGUAGCGCCUCGUGAAUUCAUCUCCGGGGGUAGAGCACUGUUUCGGCUAGGGGGCCAUCCCGGCUUACCAACCCGAUGCAAACUGCGAAUACCGGAGAAUGUUAUCACGGGAGACACACGGCGGGUGCUAACGUCCGUCGUGAAGAGGGAAACAACCCAGACCGCCAGCUAAGGUCCCAAAGUCAUGGUUAAGUGGGAAACGAUGUGGGAAGGCCCAGACAGCCAGGAUGUUGGCUUAGAAGCAGCCAUCAUUUAAAGAAAGCGUAAUAGCUCACUGGUCGAGUCGGCCUGCGCGGAAGAUGUAACGGGGCUAAACCAUGCACCGAAGCUGCGGCAGCGAACGUAUCACCCAAGACAACUUUACGGAGUUGACGAUUGACGGAGCGAAGCGACGUCAAAGCGUUCAUUAAAGUCGAGUUGGCUUAGGGAUACGUUCGUUGGGUAGGGGAGCGUUCUGUAAGCCUGUGAAGGUGGCCUGUGAGGGUUGCUGGAGGUAUCAGAAGUGCGAAUGCUGACAUAAGUAACGAUAAAGCGGGUGAAAAGCCCGCUCGCCGGAAGACCAAGGGUUCCUGUCCAACGUUAAUCGGGGCAGGGUGAGUCGACCCCUAAGGCGAGGCCGAAAGGCGUAGUCGAUGGGAAACGGGUUAAUAUUCCCGUACUUGGUGUUACUGCGAAGGGGGGACGGAGAAGGCUAUGUUGGCCGGGCGACGGUUGUCCCGGUUUAAGCGUGUAGGUGUGUGUUCCAGGUAAAUCCGGUUCACUUUAACACUGAGGCGUGACGACGAGGCACUACGGUGCUGAAGCAACAAAUGCCCUGCUUCCAGGAAAAGCCUCUAAGCAUCAGGUAACAUCAAAUCGUACCCCAAACCGACACAGGUGGUCAGGUAGAGAAUACCAAGGCGCUUGAGAGAACUCGGGUGAAGGAACUAGGCAAAAUGGUGCCGUAACUUCGGGAGAAGGCACGCUGACAUGUAGGUGAAGUGAUUUACUCAUGGAGCUGAAGUCAGUCGAAGAUACCAGCUGGCUGCAACUGUUUAUUAAAAACACAGCACUGUGCAAACACGAAAGUGGACGUAUACGGUGUGACGCCUGCCCGGUGCCGGAAGGUUAAUUGAUGGGGUCAGCGCAAGCGAAGCUCCUGAUCGAAGCCCCGGUAAACGGCGGCCGUAACUAUAACGGUCCUAAGGUAGCGAAAUUCCUUGUCGGGUAAGUUCCGACCUGCACGAAUGGCGUAAUGAUGGCCAGGCUGUCUCCACCCGAGACUCAGUGAAAUUGAACUCGCUGUGAAGAUGCAGUGUACCCGCGGCAAGACGGAAAGACCCCGUGAACCUUUACUAUAGCUUGACACUGAACAUUGAGCCUUGAUGUGUAGGAUAGGUGGGAGGCUUUGAAGUGUGGACGCCAGUCUGCAUGGAGCCGACCUUGAAAUACCACCCUUUAAUGUUUGAUGUUCUAACGUGGACCCGUAAUCCGGGUUGCGGACAGUGUCUGGUGGGUAGUUUGACUGGGGCGGUCUCCUCCUAAAGAGUAACGGAGGAGCACGAAGGUUGGCUAAUCCUGGUCGGACAUCAGGAGGUUAGUGCAAUGGCAUAAGCCAGCUUGACUGCGAGCGUGACGGCGCGAGCAGGUGCGAAAGCAGGUCAUAGUGAUCCGGUGGUUCUGAAUGGAAGGGCCAUCGCUCAACGGAUAAAAGGUACUCCGGGGAUAACAGGCUGAUACCGCCCAAGAGUUCAUAUCGACGGCGGUGUUUGGCACCUCGAUGUCGGCUCAUCACAUCCUGGGGCUGAAGUAGGUCCCAAGGGUAUGGCUGUUCGCCAUUUAAAGUGGUACGCGAGCUGGGUUUAGAACGUCGUGAGACAGUUCGGUCCCUAUCUGCCGUGGGCGCUGGAGAACUGAGGGGGGCUGCUCCUAGUACGAGAGGACCGGAGUGGACGCAUCACUGGUGUUCGGGUUGUCAUGCCAAUGGCACUGCCCGGUAGCUAAAUGCGGAAGAGAUAAGUGCUGAAAGCAUCUAAGCACGAAACUUGCCCCGAGAUGAGUUCUCCCUGAGACUUAGAGUCUCCUGAAGGAACGUUGAAGACGACGACGUUGAUAGGCCGGGUGUGUAAGCGCAGCGAUGCGUUGAGCUAACCGGUACUAAUGAACCGUGAGGCUUAACCUUACAACGCCGAAG